AUUGAACGCUGGCGGCAGGCCUAACACAUGCAAGUCGAGCGGAUGAAGGGAGCUUGCUCCUGGAUUCAGCGGCGGACGGGUGAGUAAUGCCUAGGAAUCUGCCUGGUAGUGGUGGAUAACGUCCUGAAACGGGCGCUAAUACCGCAUACUUCCUGAUGGAGCAAGUGGGGGAUCUUCGGACCUCUCGCUCUCAGAUGAGCCUAGGUCGGAUUAGCUAGUUGGUGGGGUAAAGGCCUACCAAGCCGACGAUCCGUAACUGGCCUGAGUGGAUGAUCAGUCACACUGGAACGGGGACACGGUCAAGACGACUAAGGGAGGCAGCAGUGGGGAAUAUUGGACAAUGGGCGAAAGCAUGAUACAGCCAUGCGGCGUGUGUGAAGAAGGUCUUCGGAUUGUAAAGAACUUUAAGUGGGGAGGAAGGGCAGUAAGUUAAUACCUUGCUGUUGUGACGUUACCAACAGAAUAAGCACCGGCUAACUUCGUG
rnacentral:rRNA from 1 species